AGAGUUUGAUCCUGGCUCAGGAUGAACGCUAGCGGCAGGCUUAACACAUGCAAGUCGAGGGGCAGCGGGGAGGAAGCUUGCUUUCUCCGCCGGCGACCGGCGCACGGGUGAGUAACACGUAUGCAACCUGCCCCUGUCAGGGGGACAACCCGCCGAAAGGCGGGCUAAACCCGCGUACAUGCCACCGGGGCAUCCCGGAGGCAGGAAAGGCUUCGGCCGGACAGGGAUGGGCAUGCGGCGCAUUAGGCAGUAGGCGGGGUAACGGCCCACCUAACCGACGAUGCGUAGGGGUUCUGAGAGGAAGGUCCCCCACACUGGUACUGAGACACGGACCAGACUCCUACGGGAGGCAGCAGUGAGGAAUAUUGGUCAAUGGUCGGGAGACUGAAUCAGCCAAGCCGCGUGAGGGAGGAAGGUACAGAGUAUCGUAAACCUCUUUUGUCAGGGAACAAAGGCGGGGACGUGUCCCCGGAUGAGUGUACCUGAAGAAAAAGCAUCGGCUAACUCCGUGCCAGCAGCCGCGGUAAUACGGAGGAUGCGAGCGUUAUCCGGAUUUAUUGGGUUUAAAGGGUGCGCAGGCGGUCUGUUAAGUCAGCGGUCAAAGCCCGGGGCUCAACCCCGGCCCGCCGUUGAAACUGGCAGUCUCGAGUUGGAGAGAAGUAUGCGGAAUGCGCGGUGUAGCGGUGAAAUGCAUAGAUAUCGCGCAGAACUCCGAUUGCGAAGGCAGCAUGCCGGCUCCACACUGACGCUGAGGCACGAAAGCGUGGGUAUCGAACAGGAUUAGAUACCCUGGUAGUCCACGCAGUAAACGAUGAAUGCUGGCUGUCCGGGGGGAUUGACCCCUGGGUGGCGAAGCGAAAGCGAUAAGCAUUCCACCUGGGGAGUACGCCGGCAACGGUGAAACUCAAAGGAAUUGACGGGGGCCCGCACAAGCGGAGGAACAUGUGGUUUAAUUCGAUGAUACGCGAGGAACCUUACCCGGGCUCAAACGGGGAGUGACUCAGGCAGAGACGCCUGUUUCCCACGGGACACUCCCCGAGGUGCUGCAUGGUUGUCGUCAGCUCGUGCCGUGAGGUGUCGGCUUAAGUGCCAUAACGAGCGCAACCCCCGCGUGCAGUUGCUAACAGAUAACGCUGAGGACUCUGCACGGACUGCCGGCGCAAGCCGCGAGGAAGGCGGGGAUGACGUCAAAUCAGCACGGCCCUUACGUCCGGGGCGACACACGUGUUACAAUGGGUGGUACAGCGGGAAGCCAGGCGGCGACGCCGAGCGGAACCCGAAAUCCACUCUCAGUUCGGAUCGGAGUCUGCAACCCGACUCCGUGAAGCUGGAUUCGCUAGUAAUCGCGCAUCAGCCAUGGCGCGGUGAAUACGUUCCCGGGCCUUGCACACACCGCCCGUCAAG
rnacentral:rRNA from 1 species